rnacentral:rRNA from 1 species
CAUAAGAGUGAAAGGCGCUUUCGGGUGUCGCUGAUGGAUGGACCCGCGGUGCAUUAGCUAGUUGGUGAGGUAACGGCUCACCAAGGCCACGAUGCAUAGCCGACCUGAGAGGGUGAUCGGCCACACUGGGACUGAGACACGGCCCAGACUCCUACGGGAGGCAGCAGUAGGGAAUCUUCGGCAAUGGACGAAAGUCUGACCGAGCAACGCCGCGUGAGUGAAGAAGGUUUUCGGAUCGUAAAACUCUGUUGUUAGAGAAGAACAAGGACGUUAGUAACUGAACGUCCCCUGACGGUAUCUAACCAGAAAGCCACGGCUAACUACGUGCCAGCAGCCGCGGUAAUACGUAGGUGGCAAGCGUUGUCCGGAUUUAUUGGGCGUAAAGCGAGCGCAGGCGGUUUCUUAAGUCUGAUGUGAAAGCCCCCGGCUCAACCGGGGAGGGUCAUUGGAAACUGGGAGACUUGAGUGCAGAAGAGGAGAGUGGAAUUCCAUGUGUAGCGGUGAAAUGCGUAGAUAUAUGGAGGAACACCAGUGGCGAAGGCGGCUCUCUGGUCUGUAACUGACGCUGAGGCUCGAAAGCGUGGGGAGCAAACAGGAUUAGAUACCCCUGGUAGUCCACGCCGUAAACGAUGAGUGCUAAGUGUUGGAGGGUUUCCGCCCUUCAGUGCUGCAGCAAACGCAUUAAGCACUCCGCCUGGGGAGUACGACCGCAAGGUUGAAACUCAAAGGAAUUGACGGGGGCCCGCACAAGCGGUGGAGCAUGUGGUUUAAUUCGAAGCAACGCGAAGAACCUUACCAGGUCUUGACAUCCUUUGACCACUCUAGAGAUAGAGCUUUCCCUUUGGGGACAAAGUGACAGGUGGUGCAUGGUUGUCGUCAGCUCGUGUCGUGAGAUGUUGGGUUAAGUCCCGCAACGAGCGCAACCCUUAUUGUUAGUUGCCAUCAUUUAGUUGGGCACUCUAGCGAGACUGCCGGUGACAAACCGGAGGAAGGUGGGGAUGACGUCAAAUCAUCAUGCCCCUUAUGACCUGGGCUACACACGUGCUACAAUGGGAAGUACAACGAGUCGCUAGACCGCGAGGUCAUGCAAAUCUCUUAAAGCUUCUCUCAGUUCGGAUUGCAGGCUGCAACUCGCCUGCAUGAAGCCGGAAUCGCUAGUAAUCGCGGAUCAGC